GGUUAAGCGACUAAGCGUACACGGUGGAUGCCCUGGCAGUCAGAGGCGAUGAAGGACGUGCUAAUCUGCGAUAAGCGUCGGUAAGGUGAUAUGAACCGUUAUAACCGGCGAUUUCCGAAUGGGGAAACCCAGUGUGAUUCGUCACACUAUCAUUAACUGAAUCCAUAGGUUAAUGAGGCGAACCGGGGGAACUGAAACAUCUAAGUACCCCGAGGAAAAGAAAUCAACCGAGAUUCCCCCAGUAGCGGCGAGCGAACGGGGAGGAGCCCAGAGCCUGAAUCAGUGUGUGUGUUAGUGGAAGCGUCUGGAAAGGCGCGCGAUACAGGGUGACAGCCCCGUACACAAAAAUGCACAUACUGUGAGCUCGAUGAGUAGGGCGGGACACGUGGUAUCCUGUCUGAAUAUGGGGGGACCAUCCUCCAAGGCUAAAUACUCCUGACUGACCGAUAGUGAACCAGUACCGUGAGGGAAAGGCGAAAAGAACCCCGGCGAGGGGAGUGAAAAAGAACCUGAAACCGUGUACGUACAAGCAGUGGGAGCCUCUUUAUGGGGUGACUGCGUACCUUUUGUAUAAUGGGUCAGCGACUUAUAUUCUGUAGCAAGGUUAACCGAAUAGGGGAGCCGAAGGGAAACCGAGUCUUAACUGGGCGUUAAGUUGCAGGGUAUAGACCCGAAACC
rnacentral:rRNA from 1 species